CACAGGGAGAACGAGAAAGGGUCGGGGCCGAGGGCGGGGAGGGAGAGGGAUUUGAGUUUCGUUUCGUUUCGGUUCUCCUCCUCCGUCCCCUGCCGCGAAAUCGCCGACGCAUGCCGGCCGGCCGCCAUGGUUUCCGACCAGGAGAUUGCGAGUUGCGUCGAGUCACUCCUCCGCCAGUCCGACCCCUCCACCGUCGCCGGUGCCAACCUUAGCGCCGUUGUCCGCCAGGUUGAGGCCAAGCUAGGGCUCGACCUCUCCCACAAGGCCGGCUUCAUCCGCGACCAGAUCGAGCUCCUCCUUGGCCCUCCUCGCCCCGCGCCCCCGCCGCCGCCCAACCACCACCGCCACCUCCUUCACCAGGGUCACGCGCCCCCAGCCUCCGGCUCCUUCCCCCACCAACCGGGCCUCGCCUACCAGUACCCCCCGCCCCUCCCCGCAGCCGCCGUCGUCGCCGCCUACCAUCUCCAGCAGCAGCUCCAGCAGCCGCCCCCGGCGGUCCCUGCCGCAGUUCGACCUGCGGCUAUGGCCCCCAAGGAAAGUGCUUCUACUGGAGUUAAAAGAAGGGGUGGCCCAGGUGGUCUAAAUAAAAUGUGUGGUGUUUCACCUGAACUUCAGGCCAUUGUUGGUGAGGCAACCAUGCCAAGAACUCAGAUUGUGAAGCAGCUAUGGGCAUAUAUCAGGAAAAACAAUCUGCAAGAUCCUAAUAACAGGAGGAAGAUCAUCUGCAAUGAUGAACUUCGUGUAGUUUUUGAGACAGACUGUACUGACAUGUUUAAAAUGAACAAGCUGUUAGCUAAGCACAUCAUUCCACUUCAUACCACAAAGGAUGCAGAACCGGACUCUAAAAAAUUAAAGACUGAAGAUGCGGUUGCCCCAGCUGAACCUGAUGCUGGUCAAUAUCAUGUGGUUAUUUCUGAUGCACUGGCUAACUUUUUUGGUACUGAAGAAAAGGAAAUGCUCGAAACUGAGGCUUUGAGGCGUGUAUGGGACUACAUAAAGGCUAACCAACUGGAGGAUGCAGAGAAUGUAUCGAUACUGUGUGACCCUAAGCUUCAGGAACUUUUUGGAUGUGAAAACCUUCCUGCCUCGGGGUUAUCUGAGAUAUUGGCUGGCCAUCUAGUCAAGCGGUCAUGACAUGGGUGGCAUUUACUGGACUGUAGUUCAACAAGUCAUGCUCGGGAGCCAACAUGUAGCUGACCCUCCAGAGUUAUUUUUAUCCAGAUAUGCCUGGUUUGGUGGUGUACUUGGUACAAACGUGCAUUCCAGCGGCAUCAAGUUCUUCUAACAGUACAACAUAGAAAACUUGAUUGGAAAAAAACCAAUUUGUUAUAUGCUUGAUUGCUUGUAUGUGAUUAUGUGAAACAUAGUAGGUUAUAUACUGAGAGAAAAAUCUGUAAUUUAUUUUAGGUUAGUGGUAUUGAAAAUGAUUGUAGUCGGUGUGCUGUUCUGAAGAUUUAUUGACAACGGUCUCAGUUUCCCUUGCUAACUUUUAAUCCAUGUAGAAUAGAAGAUUUGAAGGAAGGUUGAUACCAGGUAGCAAUUUGGGUGUGU